UUAAUUGAAACCAAAAAGAGGUAUGUCACUGUUAAUGACAAUAUUGAAAUAUAAUUUUCCAAUUAAA
rnacentral:tRNA from 1 species